rnacentral:rRNA from 1 species
AACGCGAAGAACCUUACCUGGGCUCGAAAUGUAGUGGACCGGGGUAGAAAUAUCCCUUCCCCGCAAGGGGCCACUAUAUAGGUGCUGCAUGGCUGUCGUCAGCUCGUGUCGUGAGAUGUUGGGUUAAGUCCCGCAACGAGCGCAACCCUUAUCUCUAGUUGCCAUCAUUCAGUUGGGCACUCUAGCGAAACCGCCCCGGAUAACGGGGAGGAAGGUGGGGAUGACGUCAAGUCCUCAUGGCCUUUAUGUCCAGGGCUACACACGUGCUACAAUGGCCGGUACAAACCGCUGCAAACCCGCGAGGGGGAGCUAAUCGGAAAAAGCCGGCCUCAGUUCGGAUUGGAGUCUGCAACUCGACUCCAUGAAGCUGGAAUCGCUAGUAAUCGUGGAUCAGAACGCCACGGUGAAUACGUUCCCGGGCCUUGUA